GGCGGGGGUGGAGCCGGAAGCGGCUCCCAGGGGCUCGUUCUCUCCGCCGGCGACAGGCCCGCUGUGCUGUCGCCGCCGGGGAGGGAGAAAGCGGCCUGCCUUAGAACCCGAAGGAAUGUGGGGGAGAAGCCGAAGUGGAAGCUGACUGACGGCGACGCGCCCAGCGUGGAAAACGGGAACGAGUGAAGGCAUGCAUGCACAUGCAUGUAUGCAUGCAUGCAGUGCAGCCGAGAAAGACUUGUUACACCCCCCCCCUCCACGCAGUCGCGCCCACAGUAUGAAACAUGCUUUUUAAGUGUGAAUGAGCAGCAGCCCCGCUGCACGCCAGCUCUCAGGGAGGACGGAUUCGCAGUCCCACGGGCCCUGCUCACGGUGUUGAGGACAAGAGUGAAGAACGUCACGUUUUCCAACGCCCCCUCCCCCGCCUUGGCUCAUUUCUGCUUCAGGCGCCAUCUUGGGCUGUGAGUCACCCGGAGUGGAAAAAUACUAGAAAGUCUGCUGAGAGGUCGUACAGGUGUCUUCGUUCCUCCCUGAGCAAGACCAUCAAUCCUGUGCUCCCGACAUCCAUUAUCUAGAACUUUAUUCUUGCAAUUAAUAAAUCCUCCUAGGGUGA